GACGAACCGUGCGAACGUUGUUCGGAAUCACUGGGCUUAAAGGGCGCGUAGGCGGUCUGCCAAGUCCGGGGUGAAAGCCUCCAGCUCAACUGGAGAAGUGCCUUGGAUACUGGUGGACUCGAGCGAGGUAGGGGUCGUGGGAACUUCCGGUGGAGCGGUGAAAUGCGUUGAUAUCGGAAGGAACGCCGGUGGCGAAAGCGCACGACUGGACCUCUUCUGACGCUGAGGCGCGAAAGCCAGGGGAGCAAACGGG
rnacentral:rRNA from 1 species